CAGACACCAAAUCAGAACUGCAGUUACAUACGUUCAUGCAUCAGUAACCUAAAAAGUGGUAUAGGAAUAUUUUCUGCUUUAAAGGAGUUACAUUCUAAGAAAAAAAAAUCUACAAUAACAAUGUCUACCAUAGUGUCAAUUCAAGUUAUGAAGCACCUGUCCUUGCAAUAAGAUACUACAUCAUCACAUGGACUACAUAUUAGAGCUCCAGAUGGCCUCUGGGGACAGCUGCCAUACAUUCAAUCCAUCACACAGGCAAAGGAGGAUGCAGAGCAAUCAGACCCACUUUUCCGAGGAUCCAGCAUGCACACUCUGGGGAUGGACAGCGUACCACUUAGAACAUGCUUGAAGAUCCUUCUUGAACUUCUGUUGCUAUGAAUGCAUACCUUGUUUUAAUGAGUUGGAGUUUAAAGGAUCUGUGUAGAGUUAUAUUGGCCUUUGCUUAGUAUAAGGUCUAGAAAAUUUUGGCUUGUGGGAAAAAAUAUUUUCUGAUACACUUCUGAGCAGUGUAUCAAUGGUAAUAAACUACUGAUCACAGUAAGCCAGUGGCAAAGCUUCUGAUAGCUUCAGUAAGGCCAGGAUCCCAAACAGGAC
ensembl:lncRNA